GUCGUAACAAGGUUUCCGUAGGUGAACCUGCGGAAGGAUCAUUAUCGAAUCUAAAUAUGAAGGAAAGAGGUAGAGAGACUGUCGCUGGCCGGACUUUGACUAGUCUAGCAUGUGCACGUCCCCUCGCCUUUUUUCUAUCUAUACACCACACCUGUGCACCUUUUGUAGAUCUCCUCCCUCUUGAAAGAGAGGGCGGGAAUCUAUGUUUUCAUCAUAUCACACAUGUCGUAUGGCCAGAAUGAAACAAUAUAUAAUAUAUAUACAACUUUCAGCAACGGAUCUCUUGGCUCUCGCAUCGAUGAAGAACGCAGCGAAUUGCGAUAAGUAAUGUGAAUUGCAGAUUUCCAGUGAAUCAUCGAAUCUUUGAACGCAUCUUGCGCUCCUUGGUAUUCCGAGGAGCAUGCCUGUUUGAGUGUCAUUUAAUUCUCAACCAUUUCUCUCUUGAGUGAUGGAUUGGAGUUGGGGGUUGCUGGCGGCCUGACCAUCAGCUCUCCUUAAAUGUAUUAGCGAUCGAGUUGGCUAGUCUUUGACGUGCACGGCCUUGGACGUGAUAAUGAUCGUCCUGGCUGGAGCGUCUUUCCUAUAGACUAUGUACAUAGAUGGCUUCUAAUCACGAUGGAAGCAAGUUAAGGCCUGUCGAGCUUAGCUACUAGGCAGUCGAAAGGCUGGCGAACACAAGCAAGGUGGAUCUUCUCGCUUUCGAUUCAAGAGACUGACCUCAAAUCA
rnacentral:rRNA from 1 species